rnacentral:rRNA from 1 species
CCUACGGGUGGCAGCAGUGAGGAAUAUUGGUCAAUGGACGAGAGUCUGAACCAGCCAAGUAGCGUGAAGGAUGACUGCCCUAUGGGUUGUCAACUUCUUUUAUAUGGGAAUAAAAUGUUCCACGUGUGGGAUUUUGUAUGUACCAUAUGAAUAAGGAUCGGCUAACUCCGGGCCAGCAGCCGCGGUAAUACGGAGGAUCCGAGCGUUCUCCGGAUUUACUGGGUUUAACGGGAGCGUAGGUGGAUUGUUAAGUCAGGUGUGAAAGGUUGCGGCUCAACCGGAAAAUUGCAGUUGAAACUGGCAGUCUUGAGUAAAGGAGGGGGAGGCGGAAUUCGUGGUGUAGCAGUGAAAUGCUUAGAUAUCAGGAAGAAAUCCGGUGGCGAAGGCGGGUGACUGGACUGUAACUGACACUGAGGCACGAAGGUGUGGGGAUCAAAAAGGAUUAGAUACCCGAGUAGUC